rnacentral:rRNA from 1 species
CCCCCAGUAGCGGCGAGCGAACGGGGAGGAGCCCAGAACCUGAAUCAGCGUAUGUGUUAGUGGAAGCGUCUGGAAAGUCGCACGGUACAGGGUGAUAGUCCCGUACACAAAAAUGCAUAUGUUGUGAGUUCGAUGAGUAGGGCGGGACACGUGACAUCCUGUCUGAAUAUGGGGGGACCAUCCUCCAAGGCUAAAUACUCCUGACUGACCGAUAGUGAACCAGUACCGUGAGGGAAAGGCGAAAAGAACCCCGGCGAGGGGAGUGAAACAGAACCUGAAACCGUGUACGUACAAGCAGUGGGAGCACCUUCGUGGUGUGACUGCGUACCUUUUGUAUAAUGGGUCAGCGACUUAUAUUUUGUAGCAAGGUUAACCGAAUAGGGGAGCCGUAGGGAAACCGAGUCUUAACUGGGCGAAUAGUUGCAAGGUAUAGACCCGAAACCCGGUGAUCUAGCCAUGGGCAGGUUGAAGGUUGGGUAACACUAACUGGAGGACCGAACCGACUAAUGUUGAAAAAUUAGCGGAUGACUUGUGGCUGGGGGUGAAAGGCCAAUCAAACCGGGAGAUAGCUGGUUCUCCCCGAAAGCUAUUUAGGUAGCGCCUCGUGAACUCAUCUUCGGGGGUAGAGCACUGUUUCGGCUAGGGGGUCAUCCCGACUUACCAAACCGAUGCAAACUCCGAAUACCGAAGAAUGUUAUCACGGGAGACACACGGCGGGUGCUAACGUCCGUCGUGAAGAGGGAAACAACCCAGACCGCCAGCUAAGGUCCCAAAGUCAUGGUUAAGUGGGAAACGAUGUGGGAAGGCACAGACAGCCAGGAUGUUGGCUUAGAAGCAGCCAUCAUUUAAAGAAAGCGUAAUAGCUCACUGGUCGAGUCGGCCUGCGCGGAAGAUGUAACGGGGCUAAACCAUGCACCGAAGCUGCGGCAGCGAACGUAUCACUUAAAACGCUUAACGUGACGGCAAAGCCGGCAUGUUCAAGCCACACUAAACGUUGAGUUGGCCGAUGUGCUGACAAACGAACAGGCGUUUUAAGGAUACGUUCGUUGGGUAGGGGAGCGUUCUGUAAGCCGUUGAAGGUAGUCUGUGAGGGCUGCUGGAGGUAUCAGAAGUGCGAAUGCUGACAUAAGUAACGAUAAUGCGGGUGAAAAACCCGCACGCCGGAAGACCAAGGGUUCCUGUCCAACGUUAAUCGGGGCAGGGUGAGUCGACCCCUAAGGCGAGGCUGAAAAGCGUAGUCGAUGGGAAACAGGUUAAUAUUCCUGUACUUGGUGUUACUGCGAAGGGGGGACGGAGAAGGCUAGGCUAGCCGGGCGACGGUUGUCCCGGUUUAAGCAUGUAGGCGGAGUGACCAGGUAAAUCCGGUUGCUUAUCAACGCUGAGGUGUGAUGACGAUGCACUACGGUGCAGAAGUAGUUGAUGCCAUGCUUCCAGGAAAAGCCUCUAAGCAUCAGGUAACAUGAAAUCGUACCCCAAACCGACACAGGUGGUCAGGUAGAGAAUACUCAGGCGCUUGAGAGAACUCGGGUGAAGGAACUAGGCAAAAUGGUGCCGUAACUUCGGGAGAAGGCACGCUGGCNGAAGCCAGUCGCAGAUACCAGCUGGCUGCAACUGUUUAAUAAAAACACAGCACUGUGCAAACACGAAAGUGGACGUAUACGGUGUGACGCCUGCCCGGUGCUGGAAGGUUAAUUGAUGGGGUCAGCCGCAAGGCGAAGCUCUUGAUCGAAGCCCCAGUAAACGGCGGCCGUAACUAUAACGGUCCUAAGGUAGCGAAAUUCCUUGUCGGGUAAGUUCCGACCUGCACGAAUGGCGUAAUGAUGGCCAGGCUGUCUCCACCCGAGACUCAGUGAAAUUGAACUCGCUGUGAAGAUGCAGUGUACCCGCGGCAAGACGGAAAGACCCCGUGAACCUUUACUAUAGCUUGACACUGAACAUUGAGCCUUGAUGUGUAGGAUAGGUGGGAGGCAUAGAAGUGUGGACGCCAGUCUGCAUGGAGCCAACCUUGAAAUACCACCCUUUAAUGUUUGAUGUUCUAACUCGGCCCCGUAAUCCGGGGUGAGGACAGUGUCUGGUGGGUAGUUUGACUGGGGCGGUCUCCUCCCAAAGAGUAACGGAGGAGCACGAAGGUUAGCUAAUCACGGUCGGACAUCGUGAGGUUAGUGCAAAGGCAUAAGCUAGCUUGACUGCGAGAGUGACGGCUCGAGCAGGUACGAAAGUAGGUCUUAGUGAUCCGGUGGUUCUGAAUGGAAGGGCCAUCGCUCAACGGAUAAAAGGUACUCCGGGGAUAACAGGCUGAUACCGCCCAAGAGUUCAUAUCGACGGCGGUGUUUGGCACCUCGAUGUCGGCUCAUCACAUCCUGGGGCUGAAGUAGGUCCCAAGGGUAUGGCUGUUCGCCAUUUAAAGUGGUACGCGAGCUGGGUUUAGAACGUCGUGAGACAGUUCGGUCCCUAUCUGCCGUGGGCGUUGGAAGAUUGAGAGGGGCUGCUCCUAGUACGAGAGGACCGGAGUGGACGAAUCACUGGUGUUCGGGUUGUCAUGCCAAUGGCAUUGCCCGGUAGCUAAAUUCGGAAGAGAUAACCGCUGAAAGCAUCUAAGCGGGAAACUUGCCUCGAGAUGAGUCUUCCCUGGGGCUUUAAGCCCCCUGAAGGAACGUUAAAGACGAUGACGUUGAUAGGCUGGGUGUGUAAGUGCAGCGAUGCAUUGAGCUAACCAGUACUAAUGAACCGUGAGGCUUAACCUU